rnacentral:rRNA from 1 species
GCCUACGGGGCGCAGCAGUGGGGAAUAUUGCACAAUGGGGGAAACCCUGAUGCAGCGAUGCCGCGUGGAGGAAGAAGGUUUUCGGAUUGUAAACUCCUUUUAUCAGGGACGAUAAUGACGGUACCUGAAGAAAAAGCUCCGGCUAACUACGUGCCAGCAGCCGCGGUAAUACGUAGGGGGCAAGCGUUAUCCGGAUUUACUGGGUGUAAAGGGAGCGUAGACGGCAGCGCAAGUCUGGAGUGAAAUCCCAUGGCUUAACCAUGGAACUGCUUUGGAAACUGUGCAGCUGGAGUGCAGGGGAGGUA